UACGUAGGGGGCUAGCGUUGUCCGGAAUCAUUGGGCGUAAAGCGCGCGUAGGCGGCCCGGUAAGUCCGCUGUAAAAGUCCAGGGCUCAACCCUGGAACGCCGGUGGAUACUGUCGGGCUAGAGUCCGGAAGAGGCGAGUGGAAUUCCUGGUGGUAGCGGGUGGAAUGCGCAGAUAUCAGGAGGAACACCGAGUGGCGAAGGCAGCUCGCUGGGACGGUACUGACGCUGAGGCGCGGAAAGCGUGGGGAGCGAACAGG
rnacentral:rRNA from 1 species